UAAUUUACAGCUUCUAGAUCUUACGAUUAGCUUACCCUUGUACACUUAUUAAACAUACAGUGAUCGUGACAAUAUUCCAGAACGUAUGUACCUAUAUGUAUACAUAUGUAUUAUAUAUGAAUUAAUGUCUUCCAAUGUUAAAACUGUACAAGUAUAUAUAUGUUAUCCAUUGUUGAGUAGGUUUCUGUAUUUUAUAAUAACGAUUAGGAAACAUAAUUUUUACGCACAUUUUAUAAUUACUCAUACGAGGUGAGACAAAACAAACCCCUGGUGCAUAUACAUAUAGAUUGGGUUUUUAUUCCGAUUCGGAUUUGAUAUUAGAUCAAAGAACAACAAUUUUCAACGUCGUAUGCAAAUUUGAAGUAGUCAAUCUGUUUCCUAACGUUGCUUUGCCAAUCGAGUUUCGUGCAUCUUACAUCAAAGUCUAUAAUACCUGAAAUUCAAAGUAGAAGUUUAAUGGUAAAGCAAAAAUUAAAAUAU